AUUGAACGCUGGCGGCAUGCCUUACACAUGCAAGUCGAACGGUAACAGGCCUUCGGAUGCUGACGAGUGGCGAACGGGUGAGUAAUACAUCGGAACGUGCCCGAGAGUGGGGGAUAACGAGGCGAAAGCUUUGCUAAUACCGCAUACGAUCUCAGGAUGAAAGCAGGGGACCGCAAGGCCUUGCGCUCACGGAGCGGCCGAUGGCAGAUUAGGUAGUUGGUGGGAUAAAAGCUUACCAAGCCGACGAUCUGUAGCUGGUCUGAGAGGACGACCAGCCACAGUGGGACUGAGACACGGCCCAGACUCCUACGGGAGGCAGCAGUGGGGAAUUUUGGACCAUGGGCGCAAGCCUUAUCCAGCCAUGCCGCGUGCAGGAUGAAGGCCUUCGGGUUGUAAACUGCUUUUGUACGGAACGAAAAGACUCUGGUUAAUACCUGGGGUCCAUGACGGUACCGUAAGAAUAAGCACCGGCUAACUACGUGCCAGCCGCCGCGGUAACAC
rnacentral:rRNA from 1 species